UACGUAGGGACCAAGCGUUGUUCGGAUUUACUGGGCGUAAAGGGCGCGUAGGCGGCGCGGUAAGUCAGUUGUGAAAUCUCUGAGCUUAACUCAGAACGGCCAAGUGAUACUGCAGUGCUAGAGUGUGGAAGGGGCAAUCGGAAUUCUUGGUGUAGCGGUGAAAUGCGUAGAUAUCAGGAAGAACACCCGUGGCGAAGGCGGCUCUCUGGGACGGUACUGACGCUGAGGUGCGAAAGCGUGGGGAGCAAACAGG
rnacentral:rRNA from 1 species